rnacentral:tRNA from 1 species
GGGCUCGUGGUCUAGUGGUUAUGACAUCUCGUUGACGUCGAGAAGGUCCCCAGUUCGAAUCUGGGCGGGCCCA